rnacentral:lncRNA from 1 species
CAGGUCUGAGAAUCAAGGAUGGUAAGAAGGAGCAUCUUUGUUCAUCAUCACUCUCAUUGACCCAUCUGGAGAAUUUGUACACUUCCUAUCUUGAAGUCGAGAUCCUAUGUUCCAGAUGGGUAUGCUUCCACUUCAGUACAUGAGACUAUAACCUGUAAGAAUCCUGGAGAAGUUGGGUGAAUGGAGCAAAUUUAACAUGAGGAGCAGUGGACAGCAGUAUGUCCAG